AUAGCCCAGGCUGAGCUGGAACA
rnacentral:piRNA from 1 species